rnacentral:misc_RNA from 1 species
GAUGAAGAACGCAGCGAAAUGCGAUACGUAAUGUGAAUUGCAAAUUCAGUGAAUCAUCGAGUCUUUGAACGCACAUUGCGCCCCCUGGUAUUCCGGGGGGCAUGCCUGUCCGAGCGUCAUUGCUGCCGUCAAGCACGGCUUGUGUGUUGGGCCCCGUCCUCCGAUCCCGGGGGACGGGCCCGAAAGGCAGCGGCGGCACCGCGUCCGGUCCUCGAGCGUAUGGGGCUUUGUCACCCGCUCUGUAGGCCCGGCCGGCGCUUGCCGAUCAACCCAAAUUUUUUAUCCAGGUUGACCUCGGAUCAGGUAGGGAUACCCGCUGAACUUAAGCAUAUCAAUAAGCGGAGGA